GGCGUCCAAAUUCGAAGUAGAGCAGAUUAGUACGAUCAGUUGACUCUACUAAACCACUCUACUUCAAGUUUGUGCCC
rfam:Haemonchus contortus, ISE/inbred ISE, WGS project CAVP01000000 data, contig: Hcontortus_12699